CAUGUUUUGUUGAAGGAUAAUUGAUGAAUAAUUUUCCACAAAAAAUUGGAUUUUAACCACGAUAGGAAAAUGAGAACCUGCGCCUAUCCGUUUAAACCGAUUGUAGAAUUUAUGGAAAGAUGUGGCGAUUUGAGUAUGCCCACUGAAGGGCCCCAAGAAAGAGCCAACAAUAGUCAACGGUGGGUGGAACUAACGGACACGCGAACGUGAAAUGCUGAUGCCACCGGCGACACGAAAACUACUGAGAAAUUGAGAAAAGUGUGGAGUGACUUUAAACAGCAAGAAGAAGGCAACUCGCAUACACAGAGCUGCCAAGGGAACACUGGACUGGUGGCGGUCCAGGUUCUUCCCUGAAGCCAAAGGAUUUAGAGCAGAGUGCUUGUAAAUAACUACUUGUAAAUCAAAUCCAUGAUAAAGA